rnacentral:rRNA from 1 species
GACGAACGCUGGCGGCGUGCCUAAUACAUGCAAGUAGAACGCUGAAGGAGGAGCUUGCUUCUCUGGAUGAGUUGCGAACGGGUGAGUAACGCGUAGGUAACCUGCCUGGUAGCGGGGGAUAACUAUUGGAAACGAUAGCUAAUACCGCAUAAUAGUAGAUGUUGCAUGACAUUUGCUUAAAAGGUGCAAUUGCAUCACUACCAGAUGGACCUGCGUUGUAUUAGCUAGUUGGUGGGGUAACGGCUCACCAAGGCGACGAUACAUAGCCGACCUGAGAGGGUGAUCGGCCACACUGGGACUGAGACACGGCCCAGACUCCUACGGGAGGCAGCAGUAGGGAAUCGUCGGCAAUGGACGGAAGUCUGACCGAGCAACGCCGCGUGAGUGAAGAAGGUUUUCGGAUCGUAAAGCUCUGUUGUAAGAGAAGAACGAGUGUGAGAGUGGAAAGUUCACACUGUGACGGUAUCUUACCAGAAAGGGACGGCUAACUACGUG